rnacentral:rRNA from 1 species
UGGGGAAUAUUGGACAAUGGGGGCAACCCUGAUCCAGCAAUGCCGCGUGUGUGAAGAAGGCCUGCGGGUUGUAAAGCACUUUCAGAUAGGAAGAUGGGUAAUAGGGUUAAUACCCCUGUUACUUGACGUUACUAUCAGAAGAAGCACCGGCUAACUCCGUGCCAGCAGCCGCGGUAAUACGGAGGGUGCGAGCGUUAAUCGGAAUUACUGGGCGUAAAGCGCGCGUAGGUGGUUUGGUAAGUCAGAUGUGAAAUCCCCGGGCGCAACCUGGGAAUUGCAUCUGAUACUGCUUGACGAGAGUAUGCUAGAGGGAAGUGGAAUUCCGGGUGUAGCGGUGAAAUGCGGAGAGAUCCGGAGGAACACCAAUGGCGAAGGCAACUUCCGGGGGCAAUACUGACACUGAGGUGCGAAAGCGUGGGGAGCAAACAGGAUUAGAUACCCGCGUAGUCC